GAUGAACGCUGGCGGCGUGCCUAACACAUGCAAGUCGAACGAAGCGCCUUUUAAGAUUCUUCGGAUGAUUGAUCGGUGACUGAGUGGCGGACGGGUGAGUAACGCGGGGGUAACCUGCCAUGCAUAGGGGGAUAACAGUGGGAAACAGCUGCUAAUACCGCAUAAGCGCCCGAGAGGACAUCCUCUUGUGGGAAAAACUCCGGGGGUACAGGAUGGGACCGCGUCUGAUUAGCUGGUUGGCAGGGUAACGGCCUACCAAGGCGACGAGCAGUAGCCGGUCUGAGAGGAUGAACGGCCACAUUGGAACUGAGACACGGUCCAAACUCCUACGGGAGGCAGCAGUGGGGAAUAUUGCACAAUGGGGGAAACCCUGAUGCAGCAACGCCGCGUGAGUGAAGAAGUAUUUCGGUAUGUAAAGCUCUAUCAGCAGGGAAGAUAAUGACGGUACCUGACUAAGAAGCUCCGGCUAAAUACGUGCCAGCCGCCGCAGUAAUAC
rnacentral:rRNA from 1 species